UCUGAGCCCAACAUCAUGUUUCAAACAUAUUCUGUCAUUUCCAUAUUCUGCAUUUACAAUAACAAGCAGUGCAUACAAAUGUAGUGAGUAAGGUAGUGAAUAAUACACAUUAAAAUAAAUAAUAAAGCUCAAGUUGAGUCCAGUGCUUAUGAUGUUCUCUUUAUGUUCGCAGGUGCAUUGUGAAGAUUGGUACUUCUCAGAGUCGGGUGGUGGAUGAUUAUAAUACAACAGCUGACACUUUGUGACUGUUGUUCAAGUCAUUAAUAAGCUUCCAAAUUCAUUCUUUUUUUAAAAUCGAUUCUCUCCUAAUCAUCUAAACUAAUCAUCUACAUCGGUGUUGUAGCCCAAAGCCAGGAAAAGAUCUGCCCUUCUUGUUGGAUGAAGUUUGGAGGUAAGUGUUAUAUGUACCAACAUGCUCCAAAGGCCUGGAUUGAUGCAGAGAUACUUUAUGGAAGAGUAUGAGCUGAACUUCAAUUGCCAAACUGUAUGAUGAUUUUCUCUCCCUCCCUAUAUCUAUUUUUAUUAGCUUGCCUGCACUGCGCUUGGUUGGAAUCUGGCAUUGAUACAAGACAGAAGUGAUUAUGACUUAGUCAAACUGAUAAUCAACAUUGCAACUAACAGAGAUGACCAAACUUGGAUUGGAGGCCAUGACAUGGCAAAGGUUCCAGUUCAUCCUACAUGUUUGAUACACCAUCCAGUCCUGGAGCCUGACUGUUUGAAUCUGAACACCCCAUAGAACAUCCACAACAUUUACAGGCGUCCACCCCGUCCUGUGUUGUAUUACCAAUACGCCACAAGUUUACUGCUCCGGCUGGUCACUGCGUUGGUCCUCGUGCUGCCCCUUGGCUGAAGUGAGAGACGUGUAAGGCAACCACUUC